CCCAAUAAAUAAAAAGCUAUAGUGAGUGGAAGUUGAUACUGCAAAGCCAAAAGCACAUGCAAAGUAAUCACAAAUCACAACAACAAUGUAUAACAAUUUCAAUAACACGCUAAAAAAAUUAACAAGCAUAGUACACAACCCAAACCCCAUUCAUAUACACAACAUCAACACCACAUUCCCUCGUGUACAUCAACAAUAACCACAUCAACGAAUGUAAUAGCAGCUAACCACAAAAAUGUUUUAAUUAUAGCAUAUAAUCAAUUUAUUGGUAUUCAGAACAACAGGACAAUACCAUCCAGAACAAAAACCAAAAUAAUCAAUGACCAAUAAAUUCAAUUUCAAAAGCUCAGCCUUCGUUAAUAUGUUCCAGAACAAGAGGACAAUACCAUCACUCAUAAUCGGAACAAAAAAAAGUCGACACUGAUAUAAAUUUUAGACGCUCAACUUUAAUUUUUUUUCCACAAAUUUAAUUAUUUUCCACAAAAAAAGGCAAUACCAUCACUAGUAAUCAAAACAACAAUCGAAUUAAUAAUCAGAAGACGAAUUCUAAUUUCAAAAACUCAGCUCUAGUUAACUUUUUCCCGGAACAAAAGUACACUACCAUCUCCUGUAACUAGAGCAAUAACAAAAAUAAUAUUCAGAACCUCAAACUUAAUUAGUUUUUUUCCAGAACAAUAAUCAAAACAACAACCGUAACAAUUAUCAAAACAGCAAUUCCGUUUCGAAAAUCACCAUUAAUUUUUUCCUGACCUAAAACGAAAAUAUUGGUCUACCUGAGCUUCGGAAUAGUGGAAGGAGCACUUGAGCAGGGGUGGUGGCAGCUGGCACGGUUAACCUCCGCGGUGGAGACUGGCUGAAUGAUAAUGUAGAGAAGAAGGGGAACGGGGUGACCAGUGCUGAAACAAAGAACCAGAUGCGCGUGCCGUAGCAACAGAUUUGAGGGACAGCCACAACAGAUGGGUAGCUGGCGACGGUCACAACCGAGCAGGCGACGGACGACGAAGACCUGGCCACGCACACGACCGCCAGACUACGACCAACCAUGACCUGGAGACGCUAGCGUCGGGGGAAUGGAAGGGCCUUCGGCCACUUGGAAACAGGAGGAUUCGCAACCGACCACGACGAACCAGCCGGCAACGGUCAGAACAAGGGCCGCGCGCUGAGGCUAGGGUUGUAUUUUGGGGAGAAAUAACGCUGACGCUGAGGAAUCAAGAAUGAGGCUCGAGGGGAGGGCAAGGGUUUUCCUCUGACAGACGACCAGAAUUUGGGUCUUCUUCUUUUAACCAAAACGCAAAAAACAACGCCGUUUUCAU
rnacentral:lncRNA from 1 species